rnacentral:rRNA from 1 species
GACGAACGCUGGCGGCGUGCCUAAUACAUGCAAGUAGAACGCUGAAGCGAGGAGCUUACUCUUCUUGGAUGAGUUGCGAACGGGUGAGUAACGCGUAGGUAACCUGCCUUGUAGCGGGGGAUAACUAUUGGAAACGAUAGCUAAUGCCGCAUAACAAUGGAUGACACAUGUCAUUUAUUUGAAAGGGGCAAUUGCUCCACUACAAGAUGGACCUGCGUUGUAUUAGCUAGUAGGUGAGGUAAUGGCUCACCUAGGCGACGAUACAUAGCCGACCUGAGAGGGUGAUCGGCCACACUGGGACUGAGACACGGCCCAGACUCCUACGGGAGGCAGCAGUAGGGAAUCUUCGGCAAUGGGGGCAACCCUGACCGAGCAACGCCGCGUGAGUGAAGAAGGUUUUCGGAUCGUAAAGCUCUGUUGUAAGUCAAGAACGGGUGUGAGAGUGGAAAGUUCACACUGUGACGGUAGCUUACCAGAAAGGGACGGCUAACUACGUG